GACGAACGCUGGCGGCGUGCUUAACACAUGCAAGUCGAACGGAAAGGCCCUGCUUUUGUGGGGUGCUCGAGUGGCGAACGGGUGAGUAACACGUGAGUAACCUGCCCUUGACUUUGGGAUAACUUCAGGAAACUGGGGCUAAUACCGGAUAGGAGCUCCUGCUGCAUGGUGGGGGUUGGAAAGUUUCGGCGGUUGGGGAUGGACUCGCGGCUUAUCAGCUUGUUGGUGUGGUAGUGGCUUACCAAGGCUUUGACGGGUAGCCGGCCUGAGAGGGUGACCGGCCACAUUGGGACUGAGAUACGGCGCAGACUCCUACGGGAGGCAGCAGUGGGGAAUAUUGCACAAUGGGCGGAAGCCUGAUGCAGCAACGCCGCGUGCGGGAUGACGGCCUUCGGGUUGUAAACCGCUGUCGCCUGUGACGAAGCGUGAGUGACGGUAAUGGGUAAAGAAGCACCGGCUAACUACGUG
rnacentral:rRNA from 1 species